AACGCACAUUGCGCCCUUUGGUAUUCCGAAGGGCAUGCCUGUCCGAGCGUCAUUAUCAACCCUCAAGCUCAGCUUGUUGUUGGACUUUUCGUCGUUAAACUGACGGGUCUCAAAGACAAUGACGGAGUCGUGUUGAACCCCCGAUGCAACGAGCUCUCGUAGCACGCAAAGAGGGCCAACCACUCUUGGUCUCAACCAUAUUUAUAACCAGGUUGACCUCGGAUCAGGUAGGAAUACCCGCUGAACUUAA
rnacentral:misc_RNA from 1 species